GAGUGCAGCGAGUGCCUCUCCUACCCGACCGCGUGCUAGUGAGGCUGGCGCUGGGCCUCGUUCAGGCGAAGUGGCGAAUAUGAUCAAAAUUCUGAAAGAGAUAAGGGAGUUUCAGAAAGAAAUAAAGCAGCAGCUACAUGAUAUUAAGUCAGAGCUCGCCAAUGUCAAUCAAAAAAUAGAGGUGGCAGAGACUCGAAUUGAGAAGCCAUGUUCAAUAAUAAUUAAAUUCCUUUGGUACAGCACCAAGGCAGAGAUUCUAUGAAGGGCUUGGGGUAAGAAGAGAGUGUUUUUAGAUGAUAAAUUAAUAUAUUUCGACCAAGAUUACCCCCCCUCCCCCGCGGUCCUGCAGAAACGUAAAGAAUACUCUGAAGUUAAGCGAGUACUAAAGCAAAAAAAGAUUAGAUUUCAAAUUCCGUACCCUGCUAAACUUUGAGUGUUUUAUGACGACAGGACGUCGUUGUACCAGACAGUGGAAGAGACAACUACAGACAUGAAGGCCAGAGGGUUGCCCGUCAGCAUGACCAAACCGAGGUAAUGCCUGGCAGAGGAAUUAUCCCACUCCACUUGGGAAAUAGUGCGAGAAUCGAGAAGGCAGGAGACGGGAGGAGGCCGAGAGAAGUAUAUCAGGAAGAGACCGGGAGUUUCCCAAAGGCUGUCCUCACCCCCUUCAGAAGAGCCAUAAGGAUGCCGUCUACAAUCCUGAUUUGAUGGAGAUGGACGUGUGAAGCACAGAAGAACAUCUGGUGAAACUUUUGAAAUGCCUGUUUCGCUGCCACUGCUACUGUGCGAUCGGAAAAAUCCUCGGCUUUGCUUCUUGCUUGGUGGCUGGAUACAUUGACAGAUUAAAACAGAUGGCUAAGGACAAGAGUUUUACAUAGUGUUAUGAACGUACCAUAGCUCUGAGGGGCCGAAGGAGCGGGAGCAGCCCCCUCCUUCCGGAGAAUCGCAAGAUCGCUAUUAAUUCGGGUCUCGGAAGUGAGAGACAAUGCAACGGUUUUGGCCAUUGUUCUUAGAGGCACCUGUGUGACGUGCAUGUCCCUGCUACGUGACAGCUACCAUGGAUAUGGACACCCUCGGGCAAUGUGGGGGUGGGGAUUGCAUCACCCUACUUUGAUGGACACCUACAACUCUGCAAGUCAAGAUAAAAGGGGACUGCAGGAGGCAGUACCCCAGCAACGCACCAGAAGGACACCCUCACUCAGUGCUCCCGUGGCUGGAAGCCACUCAAUGCCACGUGCGCUCCUAACUCCUUUGCCUGGGGAGCGGGUGGCUGAUAAUACCGAGAAGGACUUCGAACUAACAACGGGGAAACAACGUUCCCCUGAUUUUACGAAGUGGCUUCAUAAAGACCCAGGCAAGUUUUUUUUCGUUUUUCACCGAUCCCUCUAAAACACGUGAAACCCAACGAUUCCCUGAAAGGCUAAAGUCUGCAGACUUCUGAGUGACUUUUAUAUUUCCAAUGGACAAAAAUAUUAUCCCCUAGACAACAGCCGAGAUUACUUCUUAAUGAUGAUUAUUACUAUACCCGCGCUUUAGAUUGAGUAUUGAUGACAUGCAUUAUCUGAAUGUUUGUAUUAACCUUACUUUUGUGCCCCUUUAUAAAUAAAAACGUUUGAAAAUAGUGACAUCAGACUUCAACGGACCUCUCUAUCUUUGCUGGUAAGUUAUCCAGUU